CAGCUAGCUCUCCAGGGUCUUUUCCUAUUACCUCCGUAAAGAACUCCUUAGACGUUACAGAACCACUUCUGGGAAGGCUUUCUCAGCAGAGUUUUCCUUGAGGGACUGGUUCAGAUAACCAGAAUAUCCUCCAUAUGGAAGAGAUGGAGAUAUACCACAAACAGGCAGGAGUUCAGCCAUCUCCAGGAAAGCUGGACCCCCUCACAUGUGAUGGUGACUUGGGAAGACAAAUGCCAUUGCUCCAAACAUGACCCCCACUCAUCCUUCUUCUCCCCACUUCUUUAUACACCAAGCAC